rnacentral:rRNA from 1 species
UCGAGCGGUAACAGGUGUAGCAAUACAUGCUGACGAGCGGCGAACGGGUGAGUAAUGCUUUGGAAUCUUCCCAGUAGUGGGGAAUAACCAGUCGAAAGAUUGGCUAAUACCGCAUACGUCUGUAAAGGGAAAGCGGGGGCUCGUAAGACCUCGCGCUAUUGGAUGAGCCAAAGUCGGAUUAGCUAGUUGGUGGGGUAAUGGCCUACCAAGGCGACAAUCCGUAGCUGGUCUGAGAGGACGACCAGCCACACCGGAACUGAGACACGGUCCGGACUCCUACGGGAGGCAGCAGUGGGGAAUAUUGGACAAUGGGGGAAACCCUGAUCCAGCGACGCCGCGUGUGUGAAGAAGGCCUGCGGGUUGUAAAGCACUUUUAGUGGGGACAAAAAGCUACGGAUUAAUACUCUGUGGUCUUGAUUUAACCCAAAGAAAAAGCACCGGCUAACUCUGUGCCAGCAGCCGCGGUAAUACAGAGGGUGCGAGCGUUAAUCGGAAUUACUGGGCGUAAAGCGCGCGUAGACGGUUUUGUAAGUCAGAUGUGAAAUCCCUGGGCUCAACCUGGGAACUGCAUUUGAAACUGCAUGGCUAGAGUAUGGAAGAGGGAAGUGGAAUUUCCGGUGUAGCGGUGAAAUGCGUAGAUAUCGGAAGGAACACCAGUGGCGAAAGCGACUUCCUGGUCCAAUACUGACGUUCAUGUGCGAAAGCGUGGGGAGCAAACAGGAUUAGAUACCCUGGUAGUCCACGCCAUAAACGAUGACAACUAGAUGUUGGGAGGGUCUGCCUCUCGGUGUCGCAGCUAACGCG